ensembl:lncRNA
GCUCUCUACACCUCAUCAGGGCAGUCUUCCCUCCUUCUCAGGGCCUUGUGUCAACUGGGAGGGACAGCCCCAUCUCUCUGGCUGGCAUGAGGCCCAGCCUUGACCCUGCCAUCACCCCAAGGCUGCAGUUCCUAGGAUGACCCAGGUGGGAGGAUGGGAGGAUGGAAAGCUAGGAAGGGGACGUUCUGACCAACCGACCCACCAACACUGACUGCCCUUUCCACAGUACUUCCAACCGCCAAUGUCAGCGGCCACUCACACAUCUCGGUGCUCUAUCCACAAGGUCAGCAGGGCAAGUAUGAUUUCCACACAACAGAGGAGGUAAGCGAGGCUCAGAGGGGCCUGAGCCGGCUUGCUAGUAAAUGGGCCCUGCCCCCACUAGGUGCUCUCACUCUCAGAUGGGUGAUGGGUGAGCGGUGGCAGGAGCACCCCGGGAGAGGGCUCAGGCCUUUGGCACCAGGACCCAUAAUCUGUGUGCAGGCUUCUGUGCUGCUGCAGCUCCGGGGCCCCUGCCCUGGACAGCCCAGCCUGCUUCCACUUUUUCUGGGGACUGACUAUGGAAACAUCCUUACCAAGGUGCCGGUGACCAUAACAGCCAAGCACAGGGCUCUCCAGGAUGAGGAGUCCAAGCAGAUGCUGGAGAAUUGGGGCCUCCGUUACGGUGAGAGGGCCAGUGCCGAAGGCCUUGGAAUCUUUCUGCAGCCCCAGAAUACUCUCACUGUGAGCAGCCACAUGGUUCCUUCUGAAAUCAGAAAACAACAGUGAGCAUCAUCUAAGAUGCCCUCAUCUGAUAGAACGGGGGUAGUAGGGGCUUGGUGCCUUUGGGUGAUCCAAAGAAAGGAAGAGCCAGCCCCUGCCCUCCCGGGACAUCCCGCAACCCACCUGGCAGGAUGGGGAGGAAGUGGAGAGCUCACUCGGCUCUGCGGUCCUCCUGGGACUCAUGGAUGUGGAGGGGCCAAGCAUGGGUACCUCCUCACCUGCAUCCUUCAGAGGCUGUUGGAGAGCAAGCUGCUGCUGCCUGUCACCCCCACCCCCAGCUCUGGGCCUGGGGCAGUGAGCUUCCAAUCCUUCCUGAGCACCACUGCACGCUAGACCUGCACCAGGCCCCGGGGGACACGGACAACACCGGCCCCACACGCAGUGAGUGGGCUCACGAGCUUCUGGUCCUUUUCCACAGGGUUCUCUGAAGUUCCCUCCAUCCCAGGCCUGGAGAGCCAGAUGGCACCUCCUCCAGGAAGCCCUCUCUGACUUGCCUUGCUGGGUGCUUCCGCAGACCUCCGUUGGAGAGGAGGCAUGGGUGGCUCUGACUUACCACAGAGCUUGUUUGUCUGUUCCUCAAUCUUGGCUGUUCCCUCUCAGGGCCCUACCCCACGUCCCUCUAGAUGUACCCCCUGUGCCUUGCACAUACUAAAUAAGCUCAGUAACUAUGCAUCAACUAAUGAACAUGAGUGUGUAAGUGAAUGAAUGAGUGAAUGAGUGAGUGGGCUGUCUAGCGGUGAGAGUGUGGCUCCCCCAUUGAGGAGAAGGAGGCCUGCAAGGGUUAACUAGGAGCCCGCCUGUGGUCUGAGGUAAGCAGGGAGCGUAUUUGUUCAGGUAAAUAAGGAAGGAUUACUUAUAAUGGGAAAUCAGGCCUGGCCAACUCUUCAUCUCACGGCUGCUUGACUUCCUCCCAGCACAUUCCUGCACUCUGCCCGUGUCCACACUGCCCUAAGCCCACCACAGCCUCCAUGUAAGCCCCUUCAGCUAGGUCCUGCCACCGUGCCAACAGGUGGCCCUGGGGCUGGGGGCAGAGGGCUCCCUGCAGGACACAAGGCCCCGGGAUCUCAGAGGGCCACCCCUCGAGGGUGGCCAGGUCCCCAGCGGCCCACCCAAGCACCACCUCUGCCCCCAGCCCUGCUGGCCUCCUGUCCCACUGGUCCCCCAGAUGCCUGGCUGAACCCCAGCAGUGGCCCACGCUGCCUCCGCCUUCUCCUGGCCUCCCCCGAGGUUGGCGCUGCGGUGGACGACUCCCUGGCACAAGGCAGCUAACGGGUGAGUCUGGUGGGAACACUGAGUGCCUUGCGGGGGGUGUCCUCCUCGCAGCUGUGGAGAGGUGGGUGACGGGAGAGCAGGACUGGAGGCAUGGUCUGUGAGCUCAGAACUGGCCUCCCAGGCAUUGCUGGCCCUCUGCUCUAGGUCCUUCACCCUCAGAAGCCCCUGCCCCUGCCCCUGCCCCUGCCACCCAUCUGCCUCCCUGGGUGGACCCUAGAGCCUGCGUGAGCCCCCAAGGCCACACCUUGAGCCCGGCCUAUGCAGCCUGAGGGAGGCGGCUCUGCAGGUGCAGAGCCUCGGCCCCUAAGACACGGCCAGUUCUGCUUGGCUAGUAAAACACAGGCGACCUUUCUGCUCUGCCAGCUGCAGCUGCUCUGCCAAGGGAAGGGUCUGCCUGGGGCCAGGCCACUGUGUCCAGGGGCUUGCUGAGGCCUGGAGGCUUGGGGCCAAGCUCAGGCUGGGAGCAGCGGAGACAGGCCCAGGGCCAGGGCUUGGGCUGUGGCAGUGGUGGGUGCAGGACCCAGGUGGUCUGGGGAGCUGCAGAGCUAACUGCUGGGGGUUCAGGGACCCAGGGAAGCAAAUGGCCUGUGGGCCCCAGUCUGAGCACACUAGCAGGGAAAUGGGAUGUCCCUGAAGACCCCCCUUUCUAAGAUUUGCCAGAUGCCUUCUGUGGAGAGAGGGAAGUGACAGUGGUAAUGAUGGGAUAGAGAGCUGAAGGGUCUGGAUGUUGGGGGGUCCCCCUGAAGCUGGACAAGGGGUGUGUAUGUGUGUGCAUUCCUGUGUGUGUGUGUAUGGGUAUGUGCUUGCAGGUGCAUGGGCAUCUGUGUGUGUGUGUUGGGGAGUGGGCAGGCACAGAGCCAGGCCACAGGCCUGUCCCCUGUAUGACAGUAUGGCCUUUCUCCCUUUCUUUGGCCAAGGCUGGGACGAGGCCUCAUUUCCUGCCCCCACCACCCCAAUAAACAGCUUCACAG